rnacentral:rRNA from 1 species
UGGUGGAGUGAUUUGUCUGGUUAAUUCCGUUAACGAACGAGACCUUAGCCUACUAACUAGUGGUUUCAGUCUUUACUGAUUCCGACUUCUUAGAGGGACUUUGUGGUUUCAAACACAAGGAAGUUUGAGGCAAUAACA